CAAGUCGCCUGAACUCUGAGAUACGCCGAAGAAACGCAUGGCAGGCGGAGUCGGUUAGCGAGGGCCACACGCUCAGUGGACAAAAGCGACACACACUGUUCUUCCGUUUGGUGCGGUAACAACUGAUACGAAAAAUGGCUGAAUCUAAUAAUAAAUGUCGACAAUACAGUAUUGAUUAUUUGAAAUUUGGUUUUCUUCCAGCAAAGGCAGACAAACGAUGCCCUUACGUCUUUUAUGCAAAAAAAGUUUUGAGCAAUGACUAUGAAACCAUCGAAGCUCGAAGAUCAUCUAAGAAGGUGUCAUCCCGAUGAAAUAGUUCGCUACUGGGCUAAGCGAAGAGACGUG